rnacentral:rRNA from 1 species
CUCGAUGAGUAGGGCGGGACACGUGGUAUCCUGUCUGAAUAUGGGGGGACCAUCCUCCAAGGCUAAAUACUCCUGACUGACCGAUAGUGAACCAGUACCGUGAGGGAAAGGCGAAAAGAACCCCGGCGAGGGGAGUGAAAAAGAACCUGAAACCGUGUACGUACAAGCAGUGGGAGCACAGGUUUACCUGUGUGACUGCGUACCUUUUGUAUAAUGGGUCAGCGACUUAUAUUCUGUAGCAAGGUUAACCGUAUAGGGGAGCCGGAGGGAAACCGAGUCUUAACCGGGCGUUAAGUUGCAGGGUAUAGACCCGAAACCCGGUGAUCUAGCCAUGGGCAGGUUGAAGGUUGGGUAACACUAACUGGAGGACCGAACCGACUAAUGUUGAAAAAUUAGCGGAUGACCUGUGGCUGGGGGUGAAAGGCCAAUCAAACCGGGAGAUAGCUGGUUCUCCCCGAAAGCUAUUUAGGUAGCGCCUCGUGAAUUCAUCUCCGGGGGUAGAGCACUGUUUCGGCUAGGGGGCCAUCCCGGCUUACCAACCCGAUGCAAACUGCGAAUACCGGAGAAUGUUAUCACGGGAGACACACGGCGGGUGCUAACGUCCGUCGUGAAGAGGGAAACAACCCAGACCGCCAGCUAAGGUCCCAAAGUCAUGGUUAAGUGGGAAACGAUGUGGGAAGGCCCAGACAGCCAGGAUGUUGGCUUAGAAGCAGCCAUCAUUUAAAGAAAGCGUAAUAGCUCACUGGUCGAGUCGGCCUGCGCGGAAGAUGUAACGGGGCUAAACCAUGCACCGAAGCUGCGGCAGCGACGCUUAUGCGUUGUUGGGUAGGGGAGCGUUCUGUAAGCCUGUGAAGGUGGCCUGUGAGGGUUGCUGGAGGUAUCAGAAGUGCGAAUGCUGACAUAAGUAACGAUAAAGCGGGUGAAAAGCCCGCUCGCCGGAAGACCAAGGGUUCCUGUCCAACGUUAAUCGGGGCAGGGUGAGUCGACCCCUAAGGCGAGGCCGAAAGGCGUAGUCGAUGGGAAACGGGUUAAUAUUCCCGUACUUGGUGUUACUGCGAAGGGGGGACGGAGAAGGCUAUGUUGGCCGGGCGACGGUU